rnacentral:rRNA from 1 species
AGAGUUUGAUCAUGGCUCAGGAUGAACGCUAGCUACAGGCUUAACACAUGCAAGUCGAGGGGAAACGACAUCGAAGGCUUGCUUUUGAUGGGCGUCGACCGGCGCACGGGUGAGUAACGCGUAUCCAACCUGCCCACCACUUGGGGAUAACCUUGCGAAAGUAAGACUAAUACCCAAUGACGUCUCUAGAAGACAUCUGAAGGAGAUUAAAGAUUUAUCGGUGAUGGAUGGGGAUGCGUCUGAUUAGCUUGUUGGCGGGGUAACGGCCACCAAGGCGACGAUCAGUAGGGGUUCUGAGAGGAAGGUCCCCCACAUUGGAACUGGAGACACGGUCCAAAUUCCUACGGGAGCA